GAUGAACGCUAGCGGCAGGCUUAAUACAUGCAAGUCGAGGGGCAGCAGGGUGUAGCAAUACACUGCUGGCGACCGGCAAACGGGUGCGGAACACGUACACAACCUUCCUUCGAGAGGGGGAUAGCCCAGAGAAAUUUGGAUUAAUACCCCGUAAGAUUAUGAGAUGGCAUCAUUUUAUAAUUAAAGCUCCGGCGCUUGGAGAUGGGUGUGCGGCUGAUUAGGAGUUGGUGAGGGUAACGGCCCACCAAGCCAUCGAUCAGUAACUGGUGUGAGAGCACGACCAGUCACACGGGCACUGGAGACACGGGGCCCAUCCGUAGGGAGCAGCAGUAAGGAUAUUGGUCAAUGGACGCAAGUCUGAACCAGCCAUGCCGCGU
rnacentral:rRNA from 1 species